UACGUAGGGGCCGAGCGUUGUCCGGAGUUAUUGGGCGUAAAGCGCGCGCAGGCGGCUUCGCGCGCCCGCCGUGAAAGCCCCCGGCUUAACCGGGGAGAGUCGGUGGGGACGGCGGAGCUUGAGGGCGGGAGAGGUCGGUGGAAUUCCCGGUGUAGUGGUGAAAUGCGUAGAGAUCGGGAGGAACACCAGUGGCGAAGGCGGCUUUCUGGGCCUUACCUGACG
rnacentral:rRNA from 1 species